AUUGAACGCUGGCGGCAGGCCUAACACAUGCAAGUCGAGCGAGUGGCGGACGGGUGAGGAAUGUCUGGGAAACUGCACGAUGGAGGGGGAUAACUACUGGAAACGGUAGCUAAUAACGCAUACCAUCGGAUGAGCCCAGAUGGGAUUAGCUUGUAGGUGAGGUAACGGCUCACCUAGGCGACGAUCCCUAGCUGGUCUGAGAGGAUGACCAGCCACACUGGAACUGAGACACGGUCCAGACUCCGACGUGAGGCAGCAGUGGGGAAGAUUUCACAAUGGGCGCAAGCCUGAUGCAGCCAUGCCGCGUGUAUGAAGAAGGCCUUCGGGUUGUAAAGUACUUUCAGCCAGUAGGCGUUACUGACAGAAGAAGCACCGGCUAACUCCGUGCCAGCAGCCGCGGUAAUUC
rnacentral:rRNA from 1 species